rnacentral:sRNA from 1 species
UUUUUUUUUUUUUUUUUCCGGUUAGGUCGAGUGAAUUUUGUGGCAGUCGUGUGAUGGUGAGGCGGUGUGUCUUGGCGAGGUCGAGUGGCUGUGAAAGGCAGGAGAGGAGCGGUCGAGUGACGAAUGUGGGCUUGAAAGGCGGAUGUGCUCUAGCCGCGAAGUCGAGUGAAUUGAGUAAAGCGGUGAAGUUGUUGAUGGUUUGAAAUCGAGUACUUGGUGAGAAUUGGAGUGAGCGAUGAUGAGAGAGAUACAGUGAAUCGAGUGACUCGGUUAUGAAGAUGGAGGUGAAGAGAUCGAAUGAAGCUUGUGAGAAUGACAAUGGUGAUGAGAACUCGAGUGAUGUUGAACUCGCGGAAGAAGAGAAGACGGUGGUGGCUUUGGUGAAGAAGUGAGCUGCGGCGGUCGAGUGAUGGUCUUGGGGUAGAGGUCGAGUUGUUCUUUUGGAGAGAGGGGGCAAGCGGUGAUGAUGGAGAGGUGAAGAGAGUUGUGGCCGAGCGAUGAGGCGAUGAAGAAGAUGAUGAUAAGGAGUCGAGUGACGUUGUUGAUGUUGGGGAAUGACGAAUUCGAGUGAACGAAAUGAAUGAGAGGUGGUGAGGAGGAGAUGACGAGGUCGAGUAAAGAAGAAAAGGGAGCGUUGAUUUAAGAAGGAUGGGGUCGAGUUUAUUUGGUUAUGGAGGAGAAAACAAGGUCGAGUGAUGGAGGAGAAAUCGAGUGAAGAUGGGGUUGCGUGGAGAUCGAGUGGGAGUGAAGAGAUUCCAUGUCUCUUGGUCUCUUGCAUGGAAGACAUGGGCGUCAGCGGCGGGUCCCUCGUUGUCUUCUUGUCUCUUCUCUGUAUUCUCUGUUCACUAGAAAAACUCGAGGAAAUCCCGCAAUCCUCUACAAACUUAAAAGACUCCCUGGAAGACUUUGUAGCUUCUGUUGGUCGAGUAAAGUAAUGAUUUAAAAGUUUUUGGGUUUUAAACAUCACUCAAACUCGACCAAUGUACUCGAUUUCUAGAUCAUCAGUAGAGUAAAAGUUUUGAAUUUUUACUCUACCUUCAUGUUACUUCUUUU